GGAGGAGACAGAGCAGCCCGGUGCGGUAAGCUGGCCUUGUAGCUGCCUGCCAGGCCUUGCGCUCACCCCAGACUGCCAGAGAGUCCAGACUGGCCCCAAGUGAUAAGGCCCUAGGCUGGGACGCGGCCACUGCAAUGGAAAAGCAGGAGGAACAGGAGAACUUGGAAACUAAUUUGAUACGGGGAUGAGGGAGAGAAAGGAGCCCAAGAUGACCUCUAAAGAUCCCUGGAGAACGGGGACAGGUGCCGGAGCGCAAGCCCAGCAGAGGCCUCAGCCCAGUGCCAAGUUAGUUUGCUCUAUUGUUUCAAUAGUCUGUCUUCACUCCCGUCUUCAGAAAGCGUUUCCCCGUCUUCCAGUUUUUCAUCUAUUCAGGCUUACAUUCAGCUCCUAAUCUUCUACCGCUCAGCUCUUAACUUAAGCUGAGUCCAGACAGGAUCAGUACAAACAGGGGCACCGCCUGGGUCAGACUCUCCCUCGGAACCCCUGCAGAGCACUUAGCUGCACUCAGAACCUCCCUGACUUCAAUUCCCUCACUACAAGCAGUUGUAUAAUUUCCAGGACAGCUGCAGAGGAGCCAAGGACAUAAUAAGCACCGGAAAGCGUCUGGUAGCAGGCCUCAGUGGCAGAUGAGCUUGGAACUUCUGACAGUGCUUGGAGACAAGUGGCCUCUAACGCCUGCAUUGUGGUUCUCUUAAGAGGCCUGGGCUUCACUGUGUGUAGAGGAAGACGGGAGGCUUUGGUGAUUUCUCACAACUUUAUUUUUUUCUUCUGUGUCGUUAUUGAAUGGCUGUGGAAGCGCCUGCCAGUGUGGUCUCAGGCUGAGGAUGUAGCUGAGUGGUUGAGUGUGGGCCUAACAAGUGUGAGGGCCUGGGUUGGCUCCCGGCACUCCAGGAAAAAGGAAAGACAUACUUCGGUUUCCAUUGUACCGGUUCUUUGAUUCUGGAAAAGGACAACAAAGGCUUGUGACAUAAAA
rnacentral:lncRNA from 1 species